CCAAAGAAACAAAACUGAGGAAUAAUAAAAAGAACCAACAAUGAAUAAUACUAAAAAUAAAAAUAAAAUAUAAAUAAUCAAUAAAAAUAAUAGUGCAAAGAAUGAUAACACUAAUAAAAAUAAUCAUAACAAGAAUAAGCAUAAUAACAAAAAAACUAGUAACAAUAGGAACAAUAAAAAAAUUAUAAAAAUAAAAAAAGAAAUAAGAAAAAUAAAUAAUAAAUCCAAAAACGAGUAGGAAAGGUAAAUAGUAGAGGAACCGACUGUGGGGAGGGGUGGAGUGGAAGGUACGCACAGUGGUCGACGGAUGGUGGGGCAUGGCGUAGGGGUAUUUUGUUAAAGGCGAAGAAGGAACAAGGCAGAAAGGAUGAGGAAGGCUCAGAGGGGGAAAGAGUGGAAAGGGGCUGGGUGAAUUAUGGUGAUGGGCGGUGGCUUAGGUGCAUUUAGUCUAAGGAGGAAGGGAGGUGAGGGGUCAGGGGGUUAGGGGUCGUCGACGGAGGGCAGUGUUUGGUUAGGGGUGCGACAAGGUGAGGCAAAAAGGGGAAGGGAGGAGAGUCGCGCGGGGGUGGUCGAAGGGAAAAGGAGAAAAAAAAGGAAGGAGGGUUCGUUUGAUAAGGGAAGAAGAAGGAAAGGAAAGGGAAGAAGAGAAAGGAGGAAAGGGCAUUCGGAGGUGGGGAAUGGAAGAAAAAGCAGAUGUGUGACGGUGGCCAGUUGGAACAGGGGGGCUGUGAAAAGCGGCGGCUAGGGUUUUGUUGUUAGGCGGAUU
rnacentral:lncRNA from 1 species